rnacentral:rRNA from 1 species
GUGGGGAAUUUUGGACAAUGGGCGCAAGCCUGAUCCAGCCAUUCCGCGUGCAGGAUGAAGGCCUUCGGGUUGUAAACUGCUUUUGUACGGAACGAAAAGCCUCUGGUUAAUACCCGGGGGUCAUGACGGUACCGUAAGAAUAAGCACCGGCUAACUACGUGCCAGCAGCCGCGGUAAUACGUAGGGUGCGAGCGUUAAUCGGAAUUACUGGGCGUAAAGCGUGCGCAGGCGGUGAUGUAAGACAGUUGUGAACUCCCCGGGCUCAACCUGGGAACUGCAUCUGUGACUGCAUUGCUGGAGUGCGGCAGAGGGGGAUGGAAUGCCGCGUGGAGCAGUGAAAUGCGUAGAUAUGCGGAGGAACACCGAUGGCGAAGGCAAUCCCCUGGGCCUGCACUGACGCUCAUGCACGAAAGCGUGGGGAGCAAACAGGAUUAGAAACCCUUGUAGUCC